GCCCGGCUAGCUCAAUCGGUAGAGCGUGAGACUCUUACGAGCCUCCGGUUCUGAUAAUCUCAAGGUUGUGGGUUCGACCCCCACGUCGGGCU
rfam:Valsa mali strain 03-8 chromosome 10, whole genome shotgun sequence.